CAGUCUCACCACUAGGGCUCUAG
rnacentral:piRNA from 1 species